GUGUCUUGUGUCUUGUGUCUUGUCUUCGGUCAGUCAGGUUCUCCUCGAAGAAAGCUUGCUGCAGCUGUUACGGGAAACAAACGCUCGCUCUUGUCAGAGCUUCAGGAAUUUUUGUAUUCCCAAAUACCACCCUUACGGGCAUUCGUGGGAAACGAGUUGGAAACUGAAUCGCGAAGCUGCAGUCCCAACGUCGUGUCGUUGCUAAAGGUCAUUGCAAAACGGCGAAAAUGAGGUUGACCGACGUUUAUUUU